rnacentral:sRNA from 1 species
UAGUAGAUGCACCCUGAUAAUUUUUCUACCCUCAGUCACUUGUGACCGAGGGCUUUUUAU